GAGAGAGAGAGGUGCCAUGGACAUUAAGACCAGAGAGAGAGAGAGAGAGGUGCCAUGGACAUUAAGACCAGAGAGAGAGAGGUGCCAUGGACAUUAAGACCAGAGAGAGAGAGAGAGAGAGAGAGAGGUGCCAUGGACAUUAAGACCAGAGAGAGAGGUGCCAUGGACAUUAAGACCAGAGAGAGAGAGAGAGAGAGAGGUGCCAUGGACAUUAAGACCAGAGAGAGAGGUGCCAUGGACAUUAAGACCAGAGAGAGAGAGAGAGAGAGAGAGAGAGAGAGGUGCCAUGGACAUUAAGACCAGAGAGAGAGGUGCCAUGGACAUUAAGACCAGAGAGAGAGAGAGAGAGAGAGAGAGAGAGAGAGGUGCCAUGGACAUUAAGACCAGAGAGAGAGGUGCCAUGGACAUUAAGACCAGAGAGAGAGAGAGGUGCCAUGGACAUUAAGACCAGAGAGAGAGAGAGAGAGAGAGAGAGAGAGGUGCCAUGGACAUUAAGACCAGAGAGAGAGAGAGAGGUGCCAUGGACAUUAAGACCAGAGAGAGAGAGGUGCCAUGGACAUUAAGACCAGAGAGAGAGA
ensembl:lncRNA